rnacentral:lncRNA from 1 species
GAGGAGGAGGAGGAGGAGGAAGAUGAUGAGAUCACGUGACCUCCACGUGGAUGUCUCUUGUGGAUACAUCUAAGACGAAAGGGACGACCGACCAAAUUUUAUUCUCCACGUAUCAUCAGCCAUACCCAGUUUGACUCGGAAGCGGAGGUGGUGGGCCCUGCUGUGGCUGGUGGUGAUGGUGAUCAGCGGUGGGAGGCGAUGGCGCGGCGGAGGACCUGGACGAGGACGGCGGGGGAGCUGAGGUGGGGGAGGUGGCCCUCGAUGGGGAGGAGCUCGAUGGUGGUGCGGCCGCCGAGGUGGGCCUUGAGGUAGGCGGCGACGGAGGCGGGGACGGAGACGUCCUUGGCGGUCUGGACGACGACGCAGGGGGUGCGGACGAGGCCCAGCACCCCGCGCAGGUCGCUGUUUACCACCGUCCGCGACACGAACAGCGAGAUGUCCGGCCUCAUGUUGAACAGCGUCCGGCUGAACUCCCGCACCGCCGCCGGCACGUCCGCCCCCACCGCCAGCGGCGCGAACCCCUGCACCCACGCCUCGUAGUUCGCCUCCAUCGCCGCGAAUACCUUCUCGAACUCUUCCCUCUCGAAGCCCCCAUGGUAGUCUCCAUCAUUCAGGAACCUACCCAGCAUCCCAGACAAGAACAGCAAACACCUCACCCAAAUCAGUCGCCAGAAACUGCUGUACCAAGUCGAUCAGCCCCCGGGAGACAGGGUUGUUCUUCAUAUAGAUACCUGGGGGAGGCGCCGACGAGGAUGAGCUUGAGGAAGAGCUCAGGGCGGCGGAUGGCGGCUAUGAUGCCGAUCAUGGCGGAGACGGAGUGGCCGACGAAGAAGCAGCGGUCGAUGUGGAGGGCGUCGAGGAUGUCUAGGAGGUCGUCGACGUAGGCGUCGAGGGUGGUGUAACGACGGAAGUCGAAGUGGUCCGGGUUGACGCUGCCGGCGCAGACCAAGUCGUAGAGGACGACGCGGUAGUCGCGUUGGAAGUAGGGGAGGACGCGGUUCCAUGCCGACUGAUCCGUGCCGAAGCCGUGCGACAGCACCACCACCCGCUCCCCGCUACCCACCACCCGCACGUUCAGCAACUCCAGCAGCUUGCCGCUGCUUCUUCCACCGCCUCCCGCCUCCGCCGCCGCCGCUGCUGCUGCGUUAACGAUGCUGCUGCCCCCCAUGUCUGACGCUCACCCUAUAUUACUCGUCUUAAAUAGAGUAAAAACACUAGAGAGCAGAAGGUGAGAACUUGCUACUAUAUGCAUAUCUAUAUAUCUAUA